rnacentral:rRNA from 1 species
UACGUAGGGUGCAAGCGUUGUCCGGAAUUAUUGGGCGUAAAGAGCUCGUAGGCGGUCUGUCGCGUCUGCUGUGAAAACUCGGGGCUUAACCCCGGGCCUGCAGUGGGUACGGGCAGACUAGAGUGCGGUAGGGGAGAUUGGAAUUCCUGGUGUAGCGGUGGAAUGCGCAGAUAUCAGGAGGAACACCGAUGGCGAAGGCAGAAUCUCUGG